rnacentral:rRNA from 1 species
GCUCAACCGUAAACUUUUAUUUACAACUGUAACGCCAGAGAACUACAAGCAAAGCUUAAAACUCAAAGGACUUGACGGUACCCCAUAUCCACCUAGAGGAGCCUGUUCUAUAAUCGAUAACCCCCGCUUUACCUUACCAUUUUUAGCUUAUCAGUCUGUAUACCUCCGUCGUCAGCUUACCACGUGAGCGGAUCUCAGUAAGCUUAAUGCCCAUUACGCCAAUACGUCAGGUCAAGGUGCAGCAAACAAAAUGUGAAAGAGAUGGGCUACACUCUCUAAUUUAGAAUAUACAAAAAACUUUAUGAAACCAAGUUUGAAGGCGGAUUUAGCAGUAAAAAGAAAUCAAAGAGUUCUUUUUAAUAAGGCACUAGGGUGUGUACACACCGCCCGUCACCCUCUUCAAAGCCACUUAAUAGUAUUUAACCUUUAUAUGCACCCAAGAAGAGGUAAGUCGUAACAUGGUAAGUAUACCGGAAGGUGUGCUUGGAAA